AUUGAACGCUGGCGGCAGGCCUAACACAUGCAAGUCGAGCGGAUGAAGGGGGCUUGCUCCUGGAUUCAGCGGCGGACGGGUGAGUAAUGCCUAGGAAUCUGCCUGGUAGUGGGGGAUAACGUCCGGAAACGGGCGCUAAUACCGCAUACGUCCUGAGGGAGAAAGUGGGGGAUCUUCGGACCUCACGCUAUCAGAUGAGCCUAGGUCGGAUUAGCUAGUUGGUGGGGUAAAGGCCUACCAAGGCGACGAUCCGUAACUGGUCUGAGAGGAUGAUCAGUCACACUGGAGCUGAGACACGGUCCAGACUCCUACGGGAGGCAGCAGUGGGGAAUAUUGGACAAUGGGCGAAAGCCUGAUCCAGCCAUGCCGCGUGUGUGAAGAAGGUCUUCGGAUUGUAAAGCACUUUAAGUUGGGAGGAAGGGCAGUAAGUUAAUACCUUGCUGUUUUGACGUUACCAACAGAAUAAGCACCGGCUAACUUCGUG
rnacentral:rRNA from 1 species